rnacentral:tRNA from 1 species
AAAGAAUUAGUUAAAAAAUAACAUAAAUAUGUCAAAUUUAAAUUAUUAUACUUAAAUAAUAUUCUUUU